ACUAAGCAAAAAUCAUCAAAACCUUUAACCAUCAGAAUCGAUUCUCUCAACGAAAUCCCAAAAUUCGAUCGACAAAAACCUUAGGUCCGACAAUCAAAAAUUUCGCAACAACUCUAGCUUUUCAGUCGAGAACGGGAUCGGGAUGGGGACGGGGAGAGGGAUCAGUCGGGUAGGAGGAGGAUGAACGCCAGAGAUGAUAACUCAUAGGAGGAGGAGGGUGUGAAUGAUGAAGAAGAUGACGAUGAUGAUAGCUUAUGAAAGCAAUUGAACAUCUUAGUUAGUGGUGGCGUUGGCUCGGUUUGACCAAUUUCGUAUGCUUUCCUGCUAGUUGUCUAUUUGAAAUCUUGGGUGUUGUAUUCCAAUUUAUCAAAUUUGAUUGUUAUUGUUUAGCUCUUGAUUUAUUGGAUUUGUUUUCUCAUCUUUGCUCUCCAAUUUUACCUGGUCCUUUCGAAUUUGGGCUGGUAGGGGGUUACUCCCCAUGUUUGAUUUCCCAUUUUGUUUAUUAUUGAAAUCCAAUUUAUUGGGGGGUGUGGGGGGGAGGGGGGGGUUUCCCCUUUCAAAAUCCCAUGAUUUUCUAUGUUUUUCCGAUCUCGGGUUCGUAGAGACUAUUUGGGUUUGUUGGGAAGUUUUCCAUUAAUAAAUCUUUUUGUUAUGGUCAAUUGUUGAUGUUCUGGCUUGGUUGUGGAAAACGAACUUAUGCUCUUUUAAAUGAUCAAUGUUAUAAUUACUUUUUGGGUUCUGGCUUGGCUGUGGAAAAUGAACUUAUGCUCUUCUUGCUGACCAAUUUGUUCUGGCAUGUUUUUUGGGUUGGGAUUUUUCAGAUCUUGAUGUUUCCUUGUGUUGGGAGAUUUGGAUGUUGAUUCUUGUUCGGAUUGGUCUUGUCGGAAACUGGGUUAAGUCAUAUGGCUUCGAUCUUGCCGGAAACCGGGUUUAGUUUAGUUUAGUUUAGUUUAAUUGUUAAUUUAUUAAUAUAUGUUUGUUGUGUAAUUUUUAAAGUUAAGUUACUUGUGUAAUUAUUCAUAAUUAUGUUUUUUUUCUCUGUAAUUUGCUUAAUUCUUAAUGUUAAUUUUAUAUAUUUUAUAAUUUAUAUUAUUUGUGUAAUUUUUAAUAGUUUUAUUUGUUAUUUUACUUUUUU
rnacentral:lncRNA from 1 species